UUUUGUUUUUUUCGUUGUCUCGAUUUACAACGAGGAGUAUGCCUUUGGUCUUAUACCUUUCUGUAGAUCAUUAUUCUAAGACAAAUUAAUAUGUUCUUGGACAUUACAUCAACCUGCUGACCAAAUAUAAAGCCAUUUUGUUCAGUAGUACAACAGAAAUGUGUGAUCAAGAUAUACAUUUUAUUUAACAUAUUGAAAUGUUCAAAUUGUCUGCAAAGAGUCGUUAGGACUCGAACAGAAAUCUUCAAAUGUUACAAAUUGUUCAAUAUUGUAAAUCUUUGAUCUUUUGACAAAAUAUGAAGUAGUAUAUGUGAUGAAUACUUUACAACAUUCGUAUUAGACGAAAGGACUAAUUGAUAAACAAGGUUCAUACAACAUAGAUCCCAGUCAUUGUUGUUACAUGUAUUUUAUUCUUAAAAUAUCGAAUGUCACAUAAAUGUCUGAUAAUUAUUUCAACAAAGAUUUAAAAAAGAAGAUGUAGUAUGAUUGCAAAUGAGACAACUGUUCACAAUAGACCAAAAUGACACAAAAAUUAACAAUUAUAGAUUACCGUACGGCCUUCAACAAUUGGCAAAGCCUACAUUGCAUAGUCAGCU
rnacentral:lncRNA from 1 species